AUUGAACGCUGGCGGCAGGCCUAACACAUGCAAGUCGAACGAGUGGCGGACGGGUGAGUAAUGUAUGGGAAACUGCCCGAUUGAGGGGGAUAACUACUGGAAACGGUAGCUAAUACCGCAUACCAUCGGAUGUGCCCAGAUGGGAUGAGCUUGUAGGUGAGGUAACGGCUCACCUAGGCGACGAUCCCUAGCUGGUCUGAGAGGAUGACCAGCCACACUGGAACUGAGACACGGACCAGACGCCUACGGGAGGCAGCAGUGAGGAAUAUUGCACAGUGGGCGCAAGCCUGAUGCAGCCAUGCCGCGAGUAUGAAGAAGGCCUUCGGGUUGUAAAGUACUUUCAGCGGGGAGGCGUUACCCGCAGAAGAAGCACCGGCUAACUCCGUGCCAGCAGCCGCGGUAAUAC
rnacentral:rRNA from 1 species